GGUCAAGUGAUUAAGGGCUGACGGUGGAUACCUACCCNCAAAAAGAGAA
rnacentral:rRNA from 1 species